CUUAUAUUGAGAUCGUAUUUCGAUUUGCUAUACCUCUUCAGAGCUUUCCAUUCUUAGGUGGAAGACCAAAAACAAAGCUUCAUUUCAUUAAUUUUUCCUUUUGUU